rnacentral:misc_RNA from 1 species
GUCCCUAAGCUGAGUAGUGAGGGAUUUGAUCGCUUGGUGGUGUUUGGUAUUAUGAAUGCUCGUGGUGCCAGACUCAUCGGCUUGACUCAACGAGUCAUCGCCGGGUUGCUUCGUUCGAGGUAUACACGUCAGCAUUUUUCAAUUAUGAAUCAGUUUGGCUUGAGAGUCGCACCGCUAAAAACGAGAUGCUCCUAAAACGCAGUGGCCAUGCAGUGCUUGAAUGCCCGCUUCAGGUAACGCGAUCAGAGAUUCUCUGCGCUCAAAUUUGUAUGAAUUACAUGAAUAAACAAACAGAAGGAGAUGAUUAUGAUUAUUAUUAAGAGGGGAAAAAAGGAAAAAGAAAUUGGUCAAAAGGAUCGAAAUGGGAAAGAAGAAUCUUUUUGUCCUUUUCAGCUGAGCUUUGGUGUUGGCUAAUCGCUACAAUGGGGAUAGUAGUAGCAGCAGUUUUUG